rnacentral:rRNA from 1 species
GGCUAAACCAUGCACCGAAGCUGCGGCAGCGAACGUAUCACUUAAAGUGAUUCAGCGGGUUACGAUUGACGGAGCGAAGCGACGUCAAAGCGUAUACAAAGUCGAGUCGGUUUAAGGAUACGUUCGUUGGGUAGGGGAGCGUUCUGUAAGCCUGUGAAGGUGGCCUGUGAGGGUUGCUGGAGGUAUCAGAAGUGCGAAUGCUGACAUAAGUAACGAUAAAGCGGGUGAAAAGCCCGCUCGCCGGAAGACCAAGGGUUCCUGUCCAACGUUAAUCGGGGCAGGGUGAGUCGACCCCUAAGGCGAGGCCGAAAGGCGUAGUCGAUGGGAAACGGGUUAAUAUUCCCGUACUUGGUGUUACUGCGAAGGGGGGACGGAGAAGGCUAUGUUGGCCGGGCGACGGUUGUCCCGGUUUAAGCGUGUAGGUGUGUGUUCCAGGUAAAUCCGGUUCACUUUAACACUGAGGCGUGAUGACGAGGCACUACGGUGCUGAAGUAACAAAUGCCCUGCUUCCAGGAAAAGCCUCUAAGCAUCAGGUAACAUCAAAUCGUACCCCAAACCGACACAGGUGGUCAGGUAGAGAAUACCAAGGCGCUUGAGAGAACUCGGGUGAAGGAACUAGGCAAAAUGGUGCCGUAACUUCGGGAGAAGGCACGCUGACACGUAGGUGAAGUGAUUUACUCACGGAGCUGAAGUCAGUCGAAGAUACCAGCUGGCUGCAACUGUUUAUUAAAAACACAGCACUGUGCAAACACGAAAGUGGACGUAUACGGUGUGACGCCUGCCCGGUGCCGGAAGGUUAAUUGAUGGGGUCAGCGCAAGCGAAGCUCCUGAUCGAAGCCCCGGUAAACGGCGGCCGUAACUAUAACGGUCCUAAGGUAGCGAAAUUCCUUGUCGGGUAAGUUCCGACCUGCACGAAUGGCGUAAUGAUGGCCAGGCUGUCUCCACCCGAGACUCAGUGAAAUUGAACUCGCUGUGAAGAUGCAGUGUACCCGCGGCAAGACGGAAAGACCCCGUGAACCUUUACUAUAGCUUGACACUGAACAUUGAGCCUUGAUGUGUAGGAUAGGUGGGAGGCUUUGAAGUGUGGACGCCAGUCUGCAUGGAGCCGACCUUGAAAUACCACCCUUUAAUGUUUGAUGUUCUAACGUGGACCCGUUA